rnacentral:snRNA from 1 species
AUACUUACUUGGUGCCAGGGCCUCGUUCAUCACCGAGGACGAGCCCCUAGGGUGAGGCACGAGCAUUUCACUGCGCUCGACUUGACCCCUCCCACUACCGCAAACUGGGGCAGAUGGGGCAUACAGAUUGC